rnacentral:rRNA from 1 species
GAUGAACGCUGGCGGCGUGCCUAAUACAUGCAAGUCGAGCGAACAGACGAGGAGCUUGCUCCUCUGACGUUAGCGGCGGACGGGUGAGUAACACGUGGAUAACCUACCUAUCAGACUGAGAUAACUUCGGGAAACCGGAGCUAAUACCGGAUAAUAUAUUGAACCGCAUGGUUCAGUAGUGAAAGACGGUUUUGCUGUCGCUUAUCGAUGGAUCCGCGCCGCAUUAGCUAGUUGGUAAGGUAACGGCUUACCAAGGCAACGAUCCGUAGCCGACCUGAGAGGGUGAUCGGCCGCACGGGAACGGAGACACGGUCCAGACUCCUACGGGAGGCAGCAGUAGGGAAUCUUCCGCAAUGGGCGAAAGCCUGACGGAGCAGCGCCGCGUGAGUGAUGAAGGUCUUCGGAUCGUAAAACUCUGUUAUUAGGGAAGAACAAAUGUGUAAGUAACUAUGCACGUCUUGACGGUACCUAAUCAGAAAGCCACGGCUAACUACGUG